AUGCCUUACACAUGCAAGUCGAACGGCAGCACGGGGGCAACCCUGGUGGCGAGUGGCGAACGGGUGAGUAAUACAUCGGAACGUGUCCUGUAGUGGGGGAUAGCCCGGCGAAAGCCGGAUUAAUACCGCAUACGCUCUACGGAGGAAAGGGGGGGAUCUUAGGACCUCCCGCUACAGGGGCGGCCGAUGGCAGAUUAGCUAGUUGGUGGGGUAAAGGCCUACCAAGGCGACGAUCUGUAGCUGGUCUGAGAGGACGACCAGCCACACUGGGACUGAGACACGGCCCAGACUCCUACGGGAGGCAGCAGUGGGGAAUUUUGGACAAUGGGCGAAAGCCUGAUCCAGCAAUGCCGCGUGUGUGAAGAAGGCCUUCGGGUUGUAAAGCACUUUUGUCCGGAAAGAAAACGCCGUGGUUAAUACCCGUGGCGGAUGACGGUACCGGAAGAAUAAGCACCGGCUAACUACGUGCCAGCAGCCGCGGUAAUACGUAGGGUGCAAGCGUUAAUCGGAAUUACUGGGCGUAAAGCGUGCGCAGGCGGUCCGCUAAGACAGAUGUGAAAUCCCCGGGCUUAACCUGGGAACUGCAUUUGUGACUGGCGGGCUAGAGUAUGGCAGAGGGGGGUAGAAUUCCACGUGUAGCAGUGAAAUGCGUAGAGAUGUGGAGGAAUACCGAUGGCGAAGGCAGCCCCCUGGGCCAAUACUGACGCUCAUGCACGAAAGCGUGGGGAGCAAACAGGAUUAGAUACCCUGGUAGUCCACGCCCUAAACGAUGUCAACUAGUUGUCGGGUUCUCAUUGACUUGGUAACGUACCUAACGCGUGA
rnacentral:rRNA from 1 species